CAGAGCCAAUCCCUGAUGGCUUUCAAGAUGGACAUGCUGCUGGUCAAGGCUGGGCCAGUUGGAGAUGGUGGUCAUGCCUCUGUGAUAACACAUUUAAGAAGAAAUCAAAACAAAGUUUGGGCCACAGUUUUAUGUCCAGCCUGAGCAGGAAAGAGAAUUUGUGAGGAGAAAAACAGGCAAGCAGCAAGGAAACUCCAGGUUCAAUUGAUGCUCAGGAGGAAUCUGCUCUGAUAGAAAACCAUGAUUAUGUGUAAGGAAUCAGACAAAAAAAUUUAAAAAUAAAUGAAGAUAAUUCUGACUGCUGACACACAGAAGUAAAACUAUAGAUCCUUUACGUGACAUUAAUUUUUUCCUCCAGUGUUCUUUAGAAGCACAUAAUACAACUACCUGGCAGCAUACAUACUCUAUUCAAUAUUUUGAAUGGGAAGAAUAGAAAAGUUUUGCAACUCCAAAAGUGUGAUCAAGUCACAUGAUGCGGG